GAAACGUGUAUAUCCUUUUAAUUAGGGAUAGUUUGAAGGAGUUGGUUUUAAAACCACCCACUAAACUCCUUUUUCUGAUAAUUGUCUUUCAUUACAACUCAUUUUCUUAUUCUUAUAUAAUCCUUACUACGUUCUACAUGUUCCGCAGUUUAUACAUUUCCUCAGAUUUCUGUCAUUUUGCAAUCUACGUAGUACUGUCAUAACCAUAUAUGAUUUUUCAUAGCAUCUCAUAAAUUACAAGCAGUUCUAUGCAAUGGAAUUUGAGAGUAAAAAUUAUUCGCCUUUGGCAAUUGCAGGAUAAAUUCAAACCUGAUAUGCCAUAUUCAUUAGAUAUGAUUUUACAGGAUUUUAAGGGCGAUCGCAUACAUGCUUCAAUUGACAAGUAUGAUAUUAAGUUUUUCAAGAAGAAGAUGGAGGAACUUGGGUUAUAUCGCAUUAACAACUUUGUUGUUACAUCAAAUUCCAAGAAAUUUAAGACUACAACGCACAUGCACAGUUUGAUUUUCAUAAAAAUGACUUCUGUUGAGAAAAUUACUGAUCCUUCAUUUCAUAUGGACAUAUUUAAUUUGCGUCCAUUUGACCAACUGAUAAUUCACCGGAUUGUUGAUGACACAAAACUUUUUAGUAAUGAUUCGCUUCAUAGUCAAUUUAAAAUUAA